UACGAAGGGGGCUAGCGUUGCUCGGAUUUACUGGGCGUAAAGGGCGCGUAGGCGGACAGUUUAGUCAGAGGUGAAAGCCCAGGGCUCAACCUUGGAAUUGCCUUUGAUACUGGCUGUCUUGAGUACGGGAGAGGUGAGUGGAACUCCGAGUGUAGAGGUGAAAUUCGUAGAUAUUCGGAAGAACACCAGUGGCGAAGGCGACUCACUGGCCCGUUACUGACGCUGAGGCGCGAAAGCGUGGGGAGCAAACAGG
rnacentral:rRNA from 2 species